AAAGUGUUUCAAAGUUUAUUAAAUUUGAAUCACAAACUCAAAAUAUUUAGAAAUGUUUUUGAAUCUCCUUAAAUAUUUUCAAAGGUUGUUCAAAUUUCAAGAACUCCGAAAAAUUUCAAUGCCUCUUUAAAUUUAUUGAAAAAUCCUAAAUCUUUUAUAUAUCUUCGGUUCUAAAUUUAGAGAUACAUAUUUAUAAUUAUUAAAAUUAAGUUGAUCUUUAAAGAAACAAAAACAUAAUUCAUAAAU
rnacentral:lncRNA from 1 species